AUUGAACGCUGGCGACAGGCUUAACACAUGCAAGUCGAGCGGGGUGAUGGUGCUUGCACUAUCACUUAGCGGCGGACGGGUGAGUAAUGCUUAGGAAUCUGCCUAUUAGUGGGGGACAACAUCUCGAAAGGGAUGCUAAUACCGCAUACGUCCUACGGGAGAAAGCAGGGGAUCACUUGUGACCUUGCGCUAAUAGAUGAGCCUAAGUCGGAUUAGCUAGUUGGUGGGGUAAAGGCCUGCCAAGGCGACGAUCUGUAGCGGGUCUGAGAGGAUGAUCCGCCACACUGGGAGUGAGACACGGCCCAGACUCCUACGGGAGGCAGCAGUGGGGAAUAUGGGACAAUGGGGGGAACCCUGAUCCAGCCAUGCCGCGUGUGUGAAGAAGGCCUUAUGGUUGUAAAGCACUUUAAGCGAGGAGGAGGCUCUUUUGGUUAAUACCCAAGAUGAGUGGACGUUACUCGCAGAAUAAGCACCGGCUAACUCUGUGCCAGCCGCCGCGGUAA
rnacentral:rRNA from 1 species